CUGAGCAAAUACAGCACCAAUGAGAGAAAGCAGAUCUGCAUGCAUCCAUGUGGUCCUCAUCCCUGAGCAAGAUGACAGAGCCCAUGUGGAGCUUUCCUGUGGCUCUAGGGACAGUUGGUGUUAAUAUGAGUAAAUAAUGCAAAGCUGCACAAUGCCACCUGGAAAACCUUCUCAUCCAGUUCUGGACAAAGAUGAGGAGAACCCUUUUGAAGCAAAGUAAUCAGUCGCUUGUGAGCGACUGCUCCAAUCAGCAUUCUAAUUGGAAGAAAGUUGAACACCACAGACAAGACCAGCAGACCAACGUGCCAGAUGCCUGAAUGGCUUCAGGAGAGGGGAAAACAAAGGAGCUGCACAGAGCUGGACUGACAGAAGAGAUAUUUGAAUAAACCAACCAACCAAAAAAAAUCCCUGCAUAGGUGAAAUAAAGUUUGAACUUACUAAAACAGAACCACUUCAAAAUAUUUAUACUGAAAACUCACAUUCUGCCCAGCUUUCCAUUUGAGAUUCAUUCUGUUUUGAUUCUACCACUUUAUUUUUAAAGUGCCCUAAUGAUUUUAAAGAAUGCUAUUUGGCUUUUGGCUCCUUUAUAAUAUUUUGCUUCUAUGGCUACAUGGUAAAUUAAAAUAUUACAGAUCUAAGGACAAUUGAAAAUUAGGCUAAAGAGAGGAAAUAACAUUUAGUUCUUCAGACAAAUGAAAUAUUUUUAAAUGAAUACUGAACUCCAAUGAUUUACAUACAUUUUAGAAAAUGAUGCUGUAAAAGAGUCAAAUAAUUAGUCAAAUAACAGACAAAAAUAGUCAAAAUAGACAAAAAUAAUAGACAAAACUUGUUAUCUAUACUGUUUGAAAGUACCUAUUCUUCUAUGCAAAGCUAUAUUAAACAUGAAAAACCCAGCCAAAAUAUUCAACUUGGUUUUAUACUCUGAGAAAGCAGAUACUGAAACUGAGGCAAUACAACAGCUAAAGAC